rnacentral:rRNA from 1 species
GAUUAAGUUAUUAAGGGCGCACGGUGGAUGCCUUGGCACUAGAAGCCGAUGAAGGACGUUACUAACGACGAUAUGCUUUGGGGAGCUGUAAGUAAGCUUUGAUCCAGAGAUUUCCGAAUGGGGAAACCCAGCAUGAGUUAUGUCAUGUUAUCGAUAUGUGAAUACAUAGCAUAUCAGAAGGCACACCCGGAGAACUGAAACAUCUUAGUACCCGGAGGAAGAGAAAGAAAAUUCGAUUCCCUUAGUAGCGGCGAGCGAAACGGGAAGAGCCCAAACCAACAAGCUUGCUUGUUGGGGUUGUAGGACACUCUAUACGGAGUUACAAAGGACGACAUUAGACGAAUCAUCUGGAAAGAUGAAUCAAAGAAGGUAAUAAUCCUGUAGUCGAAAAUGUUGUCUCUCUUGAGUGGAUCCUGAGUACGACGGAGCACGUGAAAUUCCGUCGGAAUCUGGGAGGACCAUCUCCUAAGGCUAAAUACUCUCUAGUGACCGAUAGUGAACCAGUACCGUGAGGGAAAGGUGAAAAGCACCCCGGAAGGGGAGUGAAAUAGAACCUGAAACCGUGUGCUUACAAGUAGUCAGAGCCCGUUAAUGGGUGAUGGCGUGCCUUUUGUAGAAUGAACCGGCGAGUUACGAUUUGAUGCAAGGUUAAGCAGUAAAUGUGGAGCCGUAGCGAAAGCGAGUCUGAAUAGGGCGUUUAGUAUUUGGUCGUAGACCCGAAACCAGGUGAUCUACCCUUGGUCAGGUUGAAGUUCAGGUAACACUGAAUGGAGGACCGAACCGACUUACGUUGAAAAGUGAGCGGAUGAACUGAGGGUAGCGGAGAAAUUCCAAUCGAACCUGGAGAUAGCUGGUUCUCUCCGAAAUAGCUUUAGGGCUAGCCUCAAGUGAUGAUUAUUGGAGGUAGAGCACUGUUUGGACGAGGGGCCCCUCUCGGGUUACCGAAUUCAGACAAACUCCGAAUGCCAAUUAAUUUAACUUGGGAGUCAGAACAUGGGUGAUAAGGUCCGUGUUCGAAAGGGAAACAGCCCAGACCACCAGCUAAGGUCCCAAAAUAUAUGUUAAGUGGAAAAGGAUGUGGCGUUGCCCAGACAACUAGGAUGUUGGCUUAGAAGCAGCCAUCAUUUAAAGAGUGCGUAAUAGCUCACUAGUCGAGUGACACUGCGCCGAAAAUGUACCGGGGCUAAACAUAUUACCGAAGCUGUGGAUUGUCCUUUGGACAAUGGUAGGAGAGCGUUCUAAGGGCGUUGAAGCAUGAUCGUAAGGACAUGUGGAGCGCUUAGAAGUGAGAAUGCCGGUGUGAGUAGCGAAAGACGGGUGAGAAUCCCGUCCACCGAUUGACUAAGGUUUCCAGAGGAAGGCUCGUCCGCUCUGGGUUAGUCGGGUCCUAAGCUGAGGCCGACAGGCGUAGGCGAUGGAUAACAGGUUGAUAUUCCUGUACCACCUAUAAUCGUUUUAAUCGAUGGGGGGACGCAGUAGGAUAGGCGAAGCGUGCGAUUGGAUUGCACGUCUAAGCAGUAAGGCUGAGUAUUAGGCAAAUCCGGUACUCAUUAAGGCUGAGCUGUGAUGGGGAGAAGACAUUGUGUCUUCGAGUCGUUGAUUUCACACUGCCGAGAAAAGCCUCUAGAUAGAAAAUAGGUGCCCGUACCGCAAACCGACACAGGUAGUCAAGAUGAGAAUUCUAAGGUGAGCGAGCGAACUCUCGUUAAGGAACUCGGCAAAAUGACCCCGUAACUUCGGGAGAAGGGGUGCUCUUUAGGGUUAACGCUCAGAAGAGCCGCAGUGAAUAGGCCCAAGCGACUGUUUAUCAAAAACACAGGUCUCUGCUAAACCGUAAGGUGAUGUAUAGGGGCUGACGCCUGCCCGGUGCUGGAAGGUUAAGAGGAGUGGUUAGCUUCUGCGAAGCUACGAAUCGAAGCCCCAGUAAACGGCGGCCGUAACUAUAACGGUCCUAAGGUAGCGAAAUUCCUUGUCGGGUAAGUUCCGACCCGCACGAAAGGCGUAACGAUUUGGGCACUGUCUCAACGAGAGACUCGGUGAAAUCAUAGUACCUGUGAAGAUGCAGGUUACCCGCGACAGGACGGAAAGACCCCGUGGAGCUUUACUGUAGCCUGAUAUUGAAAUUCGGCACAGCUUGUACAGGAUAGGUAGGAGCCUUUGAAACGUGAGCGCUAGCUUACGUGGAGGCGCUGGUGGGAUACUACCCUAGCUGUGUUGGCUUUCUAACCCGCACCACUUAUCGUGGUGGGAGACAGUGUCAGGCGGGCAGUUUGACUGGGGCGGUCGCCUCCUAAAAGGUAACGGAGGCGCUCAAAGGUUCCCUCAGAAUGGUUGGAAAUCAUUCAUAGAGUGUAAAGGCAUAAGGGAGCUUGACUGCGAGACCUACAAGUCGAGCAGGGUCGAAAGACGGACUUAGUGAUCCGGUGGUUCCGCAUGGAAGGGCCAUCGCUCAACGGAUAAAAGCUACCCCGGGGAUAACAGGCUUAUCUCCCCCAAGAGUUCACAUCGACGGGGAGGUUUGGCACCUCGAUGUCGGCUCAUCGCAUCCUGGGGCUGUAGUCGGUCCCAAGGGUUGGGCUGUUCGCCCAUUAAAGCGGUACGCGAGCUGGGUUCAGAACGUCGUGAGACAGUUCGGUCCCUAUCCGUCGUGGGCGUAGGAAAUUUGAGAGGAGCUGUCCUUAGUACGAGAGGACCGGGAUGGACAUACCUCUGGUGUACCAGUUGUCGUGCCAACGGCAUAGCUGGGUAGCUAUGUGUGGACGGGAUAAGUGCUGAAAGCAUCUAAGCAUGAAGCCCCCCUCAAGAUGAGAUUUCCCAACUUCGGUUAUAAGAUCCCUCAAAGAUGAUGAGGUUAAUAGGUUCGAGGUGGAAGCAUGGUGACAUGUGGAGCUGACGAAUACUAAUCGAUCGAAGACUUAAUCAA